AUACGUAGGUGGCGAGCGUUAUCCGGAUUUACUGGGUGUAAAGGGCGCGUAGGCGGGGGCGCAAGUCAGGUGUGAAAUCUAUGGGCUUAACCCAUAAACUGCACUUGAAACUGCAUCUCUUGAGUGCUGGAGAGGUAGACGGAAUUCCUUGUGUAGCGGUGAAAUGCGUAGAUAUAAGGAAGAACACCAGUGGCGAAGGCGGUCUACUGGACAGUAACUGGCGCUGAGGCGCGAAAGGCUGGGGAGCAAACAAGGUUAGAUACCCCGGUAGGCCACGCUGGAAACGAUGAAAACUAGGGGUGGGGGGACUGACCCCCUCCGUGCCGCAGUUAACACAAUAAGUAUUCCACCUGGGGAGUACGGCCGCAAGGUUGAAACUCAAAGGAAUUGACGGGG
rnacentral:rRNA from 1 species